UUAGAGGAUUGGUGACAUAAGCAUGUAAGAUAGGUUUUUUUCUUGUUUUGUCCUGUGUUUUGUUUCUGAUGGUGUUUUGUUUCUAAUGCUGGACAGAGACCAUGUCAAAGUCCUCUGGAGAUAAAACUCCAUCUCUUCCACUGUCCCUGGCAAAGAAUUGUGAGUCUGCUCUUCAGGAUUUAUGCCACUCAGCAGCAUUUGGAGAAUAUGGCAAUGUUAGUCCUAAUGGACUCCUCUUAAAACAUUUUGGGUUAUGUGCCUCUGGUAUUGAGUUUAUUAUGAGAUUCUUGAUUCCUGGUUUCAAUACUGGACCAAACACUCUAGGCAUCUAUUAUUUGGAAGAAUAUAAACAUUUUGUUAUGAUGAAUUGCCAGCUGAGGAAUUGACAGCACCCUUUUCAAUCCGUUGUGAACAUAUUCACUGGUUGAUCCAAUAUGAGCAUGAUUGGAAACUAGAUGGCUUUUCUUUGACGGUCUCCAACUGGGAAAACUAUCUUUUUAUUGAAUUGGUCCACAGAUCUCUGAUGACAUAGAAAAACAUGCACUGCCUCAGUUGGGAUUAGAGGAUCUGAGCAGUGGCUGGCCACUCCAAUCACCAUGCCGUGCUGCCUUCUCCCCAGCCCCAUCUCACCAGAUCGUAUGGUCACAGCAGAAGGGAGAUUAUGUGCCCACAAUAGAAUGGAGCUGAGUUCUGCUGCAGGAAGUAGAUUGCGCUAAGGAUUUGCAGCUAGAUCAAAAGGUUACCCACAGUGUUGACCUACGAGUGUAAGGCAUGUGUAAUGGGAUGAAGGAAGGUUCGGUGAGAUGCUGAAAUGAGAUACAGAAUACAAUGAUCAUAUUCAGGCUGCACUUAAGUGCCCAGUAUCCAGCAGAAAACAAAAUAGAGAAAUCAAAGGCAAAAGCCUUUCCCUCUGUUGUGGCCAUUUGCAGACGGCGGAUGGACUACCAGUCAAAUUUUGAUUCGGAGAUAGAGACUAAUGAUAACAUACAUGCGGCAGAAAGGUAUGAAAAUUUUGUUAUUCACAUAAAGAGACUUUCUGGGAACAGUGGGGAGGCACCCAAGCAGGUCCAAAAAUGACAUGAAAAAAACAGGAAUGGGGACUGGCUCAGGUUUCUUCUGGUAGAGAGUGUGUGGAGCUGGGAUACUGAUCCCCAUGCUUGUGCAGGUGCUUGUGUGAUUUGAAGCUCCCAUCAGCACCACAGGAGGGAGCACCCAGGCUUUCUUAUCAGCUUGCCUACACAUGGAGCAGAAGGAGAAGAGAGAGGGUCAGCAAUAAAAUGUCAAAAAUGGCUUACAUUCUUUAAACAUUUUUAUUAGUUGUAGUAUAACACAUGCACAGUUAAGUAACAAAUGUUAAGCAUACAGCUUAUGAGUUUUUAGACCCAUGUAAACAUAAUCCGGAAAAGAUAUAGAAUGAUUCCAGCAGGCAUAACAUUCCCUUGUGUCCUCCCAUCCAGUCAAUUCUUGAAAUAAGCACUAUUCUGACUUCUAUCAUU